rnacentral:rRNA from 1 species
CACGGGGGGAGCAAGCGUUGUCCGGAUUUACUGGGCGUAAAGAGCGUGUAGGCGGAACGAUUAGUCAGUGGUGAAAUCUUACGGCUUAACCGUAAGCGUGCUUCUGAUACUGUCGUUCUUGAGUGCGGAAGAGGGAAGUGGAAUUCCUGGUGUAGCGGUGAAAUGCGUAGAUAUCAGGAAGAACACCAGUAGCGAAGGCGGCUUCCUGGUCCGCCACUGACGCUGAGACGAGAAAGCGUGGGGAGCAAACAGG